rnacentral:rRNA from 1 species
CCUACGGGAGGCAGCAGUGGGGAAUAUUGCACAAUGGGCGAAACCCUGAUGCAGCGACGCCGCGUGCGUGAAGAAGUAAUUCGUUAUGUAAAGCUCUAUCAGCAGGGAAGAAAAUGACGGUACCUGAGUAAGAAGCCCCGGCUAACUACGUGCCAGCAGCCGCGGUAAUACGUAGGGGGCAAGCGUUAUCCGGAUUUACUGGGUGUAAAGGGAGUGUAGACGGCAGUGCAAGUCUGGAGUGAAAGGCUGGGGCUCAACCCCAGGACUGCUAUGGAAACUGUACGGCUGGAGUGCAGUAGAGGUAAGUGGAAUUCGUAGUGUAGCGGUGAAAUGCGUAGAUAUUAGGAGGAACACCAGUGGCGAAGGCGGCCUACUGGACUGUAACUGACGUUGAGGCUCGAAAGCGUGGGGAGCAAACAGGAUUAGAUACCCGUGUAGUC